rnacentral:rRNA from 1 species
AGGCAGUAACAGCCACUUGAGUCUACGAUUUCCGAAUGGGGAAACCCACUGGCAUAAGCCAGUAUCAUUGAGUGAAUACAUAGCUCAAUGAAGCGAACCGGGAGAACUGAAACAUCUAAGUACCCCGAGGAAAAGAAAUCAACCGAGAUUCCGAAAGUAGCGGCGAGCGAAAUUGGAUUAGCCCUUAAGCUUUACAUGUGUUAGACGAACGGUCUGGAAAGUCCGACGAUACAGGGUGAUAGUCCCGUAGUUGACGAUGCAUGUUCAGUGAAAUCGAGUAGGGCGGGACACGUGUUAUCCUGUCUGAAUAUGGGGGGACCAUCCUCCAAGGCUAAAUACUCCUGACUGACCGAUAGUGAACCAGUACCGUGAGGGAAAGGCGAAAAGAACCCCUGUGAGGGGAGUGAAAUAGAACCUGAAACCGUGUACGUACAAGCAGUAGGAGCACCUUCGUGGUGUGACUGCGUACCUUUUGUAUAAUGGGUCAGCGACUUAUAUUCAGUGGCAAGGUUAACCAUCUAGGGGAGCCGUAGGGAAACCGAGUCUUAACUGGGCGCCAUAGUCUCUGGAUAUAGACCCGAAACCGAGUGAUCUAGCCAUGGGCAGGUUGAAGGUUGAGUAACAUCAACUGGAGGACCGAACCGACUAAUGUUGAAAAAUUAGCGGAUGACUUGUGGCUAGGGGUGAAAGGCCAAUCAAACUCGGAGAUAGCUGGUUCUCCCCGAAAGCUAUUUAGGUAGCGCCUCGGACGAAUACUACUGGGGGUAGAGCACUGUUAAGGCUAGGGGGUCAUCCCGACUUACCAACCCUUUGCAAACUCCGAAUACCAGUAAGUACUAUCCGGGAGACACACGGCGGGUGCUAACGUCCGUCGUGGAGAGGGAAACAACCCAGACCGCCAGCUAAGGUCCCAAAUUACAGCUAAGUGGGAAACGAUGUGGGAAGGCUUAGACAGCUAGGAUGUUGGCUUAGAAGCAGCCAUCAUUUAAAGAAAGCGUAAUAGCUCACUAGUCGAGUCGGCCUGCGCGGAAGAUGUAACGGGGCUAAGUUGUAAACCGAAGCUGCGGCAAUAUCUUUUAGAUAUUGGGUAGGGGAGCGUUCUGUAAGCCGUUGAAGGUGUGUUGUAAAGCAUGCUGGAGGUAUCAGAAGUGCGAAUGCUGACAUGAGUAACGACAAGGGGGGUGAAAAACCUCCCCGCCGGAAGACCAAGGGUUCCUGUCCAACGUUAAUCGGGGCAGGGUAAGUCGACCCCUAAGGCGAGGCCGAAAGGCGUAGUCGAUGGGAAACGGGUUAAUAUUCCCGUACUUCUUACAAUUGCGAUGGGGGGACGGAGAAGGCUAGGUGGGCCUGGCGACGGUUGUCCAGGUUCAAGUGCGUAGGCUGAGUGUUUAGGUAAAUCCGGA